GGACCCCUCAUGGGCAUCUCCCGAUCCCCAGAUGGAUCCAAACAGACGGACCCCUCACGGGCAUCCUAACAGACGGACCCCUCUCGGGCGUCCUAUGACGGGGGGACCUGUAAGGACCCCCGAGUCCUGAUGAGGGGUUGGAACGUCUUCCAACUCCUCCAGGUCACCUUACAGGCGCGUCCGCCAAGGUGAGCCUGUCAGAUUCAACUGCCGGCUUCGG